UGGACACCUACAGGAUGUUUCAGAACACCCACGAGGUCGUGGAUCUACUCUUCAGCAGGUUCUGGACUUUUGAAGCCCCCAUGGGCUGCUCAGGAAGGACUGCUGCCCUUCCCCACUGCAGCCAGGAGAUGAUUCCUCGGGACCAGCGCUGCUAUGCCAUCUCGGGC